ensembl:lncRNA
AACCGGGGCCCCUCGGGGCCACGUUCGGUAGAGAUGACACGAUUUACCGGGACAAAAGUCAUCCUAAAUCGGCGCUUUAGUUUUUGUGAAAACGCCAGGGAUUUGUCUGCCUGAUCCAAACAUACAGCAUUAGGGAGGAGGGGGGAUCAAACGCACACGCACGCGCUCUCAGGAUGGAGAGUUUGACCUCGUGCCACAAUUUCAUCCCAAACACAGCUUCUUCUUCUUCUUCUUCUUCUUCUUCUUUCUGCACCAAAGCGACGCGGGCGGAUCGGUAAGCGGGAGAGAAACGAUGCACGCGCCUGUUUUUAUGAAGAUCAUUAUUGGUAUUAUUAUUUACUGACUGUUGUUGUUGUUGUUGUUGCGAGCUCACAAGUUGCGCGGCACUCACCCUCCGUGCAGACCAGGAGCGUCCAGGCUAUCCAGAGGUCCGAGUUAUGGAACUUCACCAUGGCUCCUUCAACCGGUCCUCCGCUUCGGCCCGACGGAACCACGAUCUCAGCUCGGCUCACGGUUCCCCGGGCGACAAGUAACAGGUCCUCCCGGUGCCGGGAGACAUGGGCGCAGCCCGCCGCGGGGUCUCUUUACGCGCCGCGCGCCGGCGACGCUUCCCGAAAGACGGGGUGAAACGUUCCGAGUGAGGGGUGGAGGAUCGGUCGGGAUGCGACCUGUUCUUUCUCGUCGGACCUUUUCGUCUUUGCCAGACGUUCCCUGUGUUGCUUUAUUAAUUAACCGGAUUCUGCCAGUUGAAGAUUUAACCUGGCCAAUGGAACCGAUCUUGAUGAGCCUCCUCCUUCUUCACCUCCUCUUCACUCGCAGCCGCACGCAUGCAAAAGAAACAGAUGAGGAACAAUCCUGGGAGGAAGAAGGAGUGAUGGUGAUACACGCUGGAUCCACACAGUGUGUCUCAGACAGUGUUGAGUCGUGACGCCGACGAGUAAAAAACAUGACGUCAUGACUUUGUAAAUUUGGUUAAACUCUUUCCCUGAGUAGGGACCAUGAUAUUUGUGCGUCUUUGUCAUCUCACCUUGUCGUCAUCACUCUCAGCGCAAGAGGACUUCUAGAAAGAAGAUAUCAUAUCAGAGCAUGAAGGAGAGGACGAGUCCUGUAAAGAGAA